GUGGCUGUAGCUCAGUUGGUAGAGCCCCGGAUUGUGAUUCCGGUUGUCGUGGGUUCGAGCCCCAUCAGCCACC
rfam:Kingella oralis ATCC 51147 genomic scaffold Scfld0, whole genome shotgun sequence.